UCAGUUUUUUUUUUUUUUGCCCUUUUCCCUUUUCCCCUUUUAAAGCUCUAAUUUUAGAUUAACGGCGUAAAUUUAAUGUACAAAUAAUGAUCAAUUGGGAGUGAAUUGUUCAUUUGAUCUCCGAUCAUUCAAUGGUCGGAGCUCUUCCAUCAUUCCCUAUAAUUUCGAGGCGUCUCAAAGCCCUAAUCUCAUCGAACUGGAGUUGAUCCAGGGAAUUUGAAUCUUAACUUUACUCUUCGUGAUAUGUUGAGUGUUGGAAGAUGCACAUUGUGAAUACGCCUAUAGACAUAUAUUGAGUAGUGGAAGAAGCAAUAUUGUGAGUACUCAAAUAGACAAACAAGUUGUAAGCAAAUCAGGCUUCUCAAUUGAUUGCCAAGUUUGCAUUUACUCUUAGGGGCCGUUUGGUUGGUUUCCUAAAAUCCAAGAAAAGGAAAUCAGUACAAGGAAAUCAGUAAAAUAAUAUUUUUAUUUAUUUU